GACGAACGCUGGCGGCGUGCCUAACACAUGCAAGUCGAGCGAAUGAAGUUCCUUCGGGAACGGAUUUAGCGGCGGACGGGUGAGUAACACGUGGGCAACCUGCCUCAUAGAGGGGAAUAGCCUUCCGAAAGGGAGAUUAAUACCGCAUAAGAUUGUAGUACCGCAUGGUACAGCACUGAAAGGAGCAAGCCGCUAUGAGAUGGGCCCGCGGCGCAUUAGCUAGUUGGUGAGGUAACGGCCCACCAAGGCGACGAUGCGUAGCCGACCUGAGAAGGUGAUCGGCCACAUUGGGACUGAGACACGGCCCAGACUCCUACGGGAGGCAGCAGUGGGGAAUAUUGCACAAUGGGGGAAACCCUGAUGCAGCAACGCCGCGUGAGUGAUGACGGCCUUCGGGUUGCAAAGCUCUGUCUUCAGGGACGAUAAUGACGGUACCUGAGGAGGAAGCCACGGCUAACUACGUGCCAGCCGCCGCGGUAACAC
rnacentral:rRNA from 1 species